UGUUUUUUUAUUGUUAUAUGAUGUAAUGUUUUUAAUAUAUAAUUAGUGUUUAAAAUAAAUAAUAUCAUAUGUUAUGGGAAUUUUGCAAAACUAUAAUAUAUGGGGUCAGAUUGUAAAUUUUAUAAUUAAAAGGUAUUUGUAUAUAAAAUAAAAUAUAAUAUUUCUAAGAAUAAUAUUUUUUAGAGUAGAAAAUAGAGAUAUACAUUGGAGAGAAACCCUUCUAUAAAAUAAAGUUACUCUAUUUUAGAGUAAGAUAUAGAGUUAUACAUUGGAGAUGGUCUUAGAAGUUAAAGCAUGUUAGGUUGAUUGCUUCUGUCUAAGUUUAUAUGUUAUGAUGAUGGUUCUAUAGCUUUAGAAAAUGUUCUAUGUUUCAGUGGACAGAGUUGAUUCCCCUCAUGAGUAUUCUUUACUCACCCUCUUUUUCUUGUUUUCCUCGGGUUAGUAGGGAAGAGGCAUGCUUUUCAAAGUACAUUAGUUCGAAUGAAGUAGGAUUGUUGAAAGAAAAAAGACGUGAGAAAAAGGAAAGAAGUUGAUCGUGUUUUAUAGAGAGUGUGAUAUGUUUUAAAUGCAAAAGAAAAAUAAUUGAAUGAUGUUUUGAACAAAGAGGUUUUAGGGAAUUUUUCUCUCUAUUAUUGAUCUAUUGAUAAGAUACAACAUCUAUAUAUGAUACAACAUUAGGGUUUAGGUUUAGAUAUCAACUUAUCUAGAGCCUUCUAGAAUAUACUAAUAGACCAUAUAAUGGGCAUCCACAUACUAUAUAAUAUUAAUCAUAACACUCCCUCUUGGAUGACCAUUAUAAAAAUAUAGUCUCAAAUGAGCAUGUAAGAUGAUGCUGCCUCAUUAAAAAACCUUACCAGAAAAAACCAUGGUUAAGGAAAAAAGAGUGCAGCGUGCUUCUACUCCCCCUCAUGAGUACAACACUAGAAAUCUUCAAGAUGCCGCGAUCCAAUUAUGAUGAACUAACUUCUUGAAAUAGUAGUUCGAAACGUCUUGGUAAAUAGGCUCGCCAAAUCUUCACUUGAACAAAUUUGUAGGGCACGUACAUCACCAUUCUUCUACAGUUCAUUGGUCUUAGAGGUGACUCAUCUUGAUCAUUAUCUAUACUUACCAUAAUCUCAUCAAUGUAUGGUAAAGACUUUGAAUAACAAUGGUCUUUCAUUAUUGGAAUCAAAAUAUUUCUCUUUAUGUGUCUAUCAUUUCUAUAUUCUUUGUUGUCUCCUUAAAAACCUUUCAUGGAAAACCCCAAUGGGAUAAAAACCAUGAUAAGGGAAAAAAAGUACAACUAUGCACAUAACGAUAUUUCUCCCCCUGAAAUCAUCAUCUUUAAGAUAUGCAUUCCAGUCAUAUAUAUCAUCUUUUAAGAAAUCAUUA
rnacentral:sRNA from 1 species